GCAACGGCGCGCGCAGGCUCCGCGAGCGCGCGCGGUCGCGCGGCCAGCCCGAGCCGGCGGGACGCAAGGCACGUCGCGCCCAAGCGCCGCCACGUCCGACGGUCUGCGUCAGCGCGAGGGCGGCGAACAUGGCGUCGUCUGCCGCCGGCCUCGGCGGCGGUGCGGGCCCGGGGCCCGAGGCUGGGGAUUUCCUGGCACGCUACCGCCAGGUGUCCAGCAAGCUGAAGAAGCGGUUCCUGCGGAAGCCGAACGUGGCGGAGGCGGGCGAGCAGUUUGGCCAGUUGGGCCGCGAGCUGCGUGCCCAGGAGUGCCUGCCCUACGCGGCCUGGUGUCAGCUGGCGGUGGCGCGCUGCCAGCAGGCGCUCUUCCACGGGCCUGGGGAGGCGCUGGCGCUGACCGAGGCCGCCCGACUCUUCCUGCGGCAGGAGCGCGACGCGCGCCAGCGACUCGUCUGCCCGGCAGCCUACGGGGAGCCGCUGCAAGCCGCGGCCAGCGCUCUGGGCGCCGCCGUGCGCCUGCACCUCGAGUUGGGCCAGCCGGCCGCCGCCGCCGCCGUCUGCCUCGAGCUGGCCGCCGCCCUGCGCGACCUGGGCCAGCCGGCCGCCGCCGCCGGCCACUUCCAGCGCGCCGCGCAGCUGCAGCUCCCGCAGCUGCCCCUGGCCGCGCUGCAGUCUCUUGGCGACGCCGCCUCCUGCCAGCUGCUGGCGCGCGACUACAACGGUGCCCUGGCGGUCUUCACGCGCAUGCAGCGCCUGGCGCGGGAGUACGGCAGCCACCCGGUGCAGCCACCGCCGCCCCUGCCGCUGCCGCCGCCGCCGCCGCCGCCGCCGCCGCCAGGGCAGCAGGUGGGCCCCGGCGCGGCCCCGGCCCUGCCCGCCGCGCUGCUUCCUCCGAGCGCGGGCUCUGCGCCCGGCGCGCCCUCUCCCGCCGCGCUGGGAGCCUUCUCGGAUGUGUUGGUCCGCUGCGAGGUGUCCCGCGUGUUGCUGCUGCUACUCCUGCAGCCGCCGCCCGCCAAGCUCCUGCCGGAGCAUGCCCACACCCUGGAGAAGUACUCCUGGGAGGCUUUCGACAGCCACGGGCAGGAGAGCAGUGGCCAGCUUCCCGAGGAGCUGUUCCUGCUGCUCCAGUCCUUGGUCAUGGCUACCCACGAAAAGGACACCGAAGCUGUCAAGUCGCUGCAAGUGGAGAUGUGGCCGCUGUUGAGUGCUGAGCAGAACCACCUCCUUCACCUCGUUCUGCAAGAAACCGUCUCCCCCUCGGGACAGGGAAUCUGAUGAAUCACCUUAACUAAGAACUUAGUUGACUGGAAGUUACCUGUAUCCCAAAAACUUACUUCCAUGACGGUGGGAGGGAAACAACGACAACGUGAUAGAAUCAGUGGAGGACGUGGCUCUCUUCCCCAAAACUGCCCACAUACAAGUCCACGAUGUAUUCAUUCAUUUGAAAUUGACAGUGAGCCCAGUACUCGGGCUGUGCCACGCAAUGAAGCUACAGAGAUCCUUUGCGAUGUGGACCUUACUCAGCGGCAAUGCAAAUGUGUCCGGUGCAAGGGAGGGGGGCGUGUUCUAAUGCAAAUGUGUCUGAUGUGCCUUGGGAUUCAGAGUUCUGGGUCUAGGUUCUAUUCUGAGAGGUAUCCCUCGUCCGCGUGACAACUUUUAUCUGUAGUAGGGAGCUCUCUGCAACUCUUAUUUAACUCAAAUAUGUAAAAUCGGCAUGGUUCUCUGGUAUUGUGCGGUCAUUUAUAUGCUAGACGGUGUCUUUGUUCCCCAAGAGCAGGA